rnacentral:snoRNA from 1 species
UAACCAUGAUGAGGGCAAGCUCGUCCCAAUUCCUCGAACCUUUCCCAUGCUUCACUCAACAUCUCGCCAUCUAAUUGAGAGAAUGUAGCUAUUUGACGUUUUAGCUC